CCUACGGGAGGCAGCAGUGAGGAAUAUUGGUCAAUGGGCGGAAGCCUGAACCAGCCAAGUCGCGUGAGGGAUUAAGGCCCUGCGGGUCGUAAACCUCUUUUGCCGGGGAGCAGUGGUCCGGACGCGUCCGGGCCGGGAGAGUACCCGGAGAAAAAGCAUCGGCUAACUCCGUGCCAGCAGCCGCGGUAAUACGGAGGAUGCGAGCGUUAUCCGGAUUUAUUGGGUUUAAAGGGUGCGUAGGCGGGCAUUUAAGCCGGCGGUCAAAUGUCGGGGCUCAACCCCGGCCUGCCGUCGGAACUGGGUGCCUUGAGUGGGCGAGAAGUAUGCGGAAUGCGUGGUGUAGCGGUGAAAUGCAUAGAUAUCACGCAGAACCCCGAUUGCGAAGGCAGCAUACCGGCGCCCGACUGACGCUGAGGCACGAAAGUGCGGGUAUCGAACA
rnacentral:rRNA from 1 species